GGCGGAGAGUAUAAUAAAUCUCACCCUAGAGAUCCUCUUCCGGCUUACUGGAGAGGACUACACAGUAGUGAAGAAGACCUCUAGUGAGCGCUGUCAGGACCCUGUGUCUAAAGGAUGGGUAAGAACCCUGAGUCCAAUAACGGGGCCUCCACCUCACCCCCUGAUACAUGAGGAAGUUAAUAGAGAGAAGAUCCUAGAACUCACCAACAAGAUGAUUGAGCUGCUGACUGGAGAGGUCAGUGGUGGGAAUGCUGAGACAUUAUACAGGAGCAGUAUGAAGGGAUCUGAGUGACAACCGUAUUAUUGUGUUGUCAGGUUCCUAUAAGGUGUCAGGAUGUCACUGUCUAUUUCUCCAUGGAGGAGUGGGAGUAUUUAGAAGGACACAAAGAUCUGUACAAGGACUUUAUGAUGGAGGAUCACUGGCCUCUCACAUCACCAGUUAAGGAAGAGAGAAGAACACAGGACAGGUGUCCCAGUCCUCUACUUCCACAAUAUGGUUCAGAAGAACAUCACAAUGUCCCACAGGAUGAUCAGGUAGAUGGAGCUAAGGUCUCAUGAAAUGUUCCCUAUGAUCUGUAGAAGGCUGUGAAGAUCUUGUGUUCAGUCUUGUUUUAGCCACCAGUAUUAUAUGUUUUAUCCUUGUAUAAUGAGAUGGCAGGAUCACAGCUGACCAUAGGUAUUACAUGUUGUCUGGUUCUUCUCACAAGUUUCUGCCUAAAGAGACUGUAAACGUCAUUUAACUUUGUAAAUGUUAUUUGAUCUCCUUCACAGAAUAAUGUACCUGUAAAUUUUUAUUCACUUCAGUCUCCAUGCUCCCACUGUGCUCCAUUGUUUACAACCCAAACUUCUGG